rnacentral:tRNA from 1 species
GCCGCUUUGGUGGAAUGGUAGACACAUAACUUUCAAAAAGUUACGAAGAAAUUCGUAUCGGUUCAAGUCCGAUAAGCGGCA